ACCCCACCCGCCACCCACACUCCGCUCCGGCUGCCGGGCCUCCAGCGAGUUCUGCGCAUCCGGAAGGGAGCCAAGGGAUCCCUGGUUCAAAGGGCCGCAGCCCGAGGGGAUGCCCUCCUCGUGUGCCCCGGGGUGCAGAAGCAGACUGAAGGGCGGUGGGACCAGCCUGGGCCACGAACUGCAGAGUCAGCAUGACCUGGACCCCAGCACCUCUCAGCUUCAUAAUACGCAGCCACCACACCUUCAACACAAGAGUGUUUGAAGGCACAAAUCCCAACCAUUGCAGAGUACAACUGUGAACUUUGAUAUAUGAAGACGUUUGCUAAGCAGGUGAUAUCACAAGGACUCCCUAAACUCACCGAGUGUUGAAGAUUCAUGCACAAUGUCUGGGAGACUCUGACACCCACCCACAUCCUUACUUAGAGUAUUCUAGAGUGACUUCUGAAGGGACUGGCCAGGCGGGAAAUGGACGCUGUGCUCUUCUGAGCUGGUUUCUUCCUGAUCCUCUGCGAGAAGCUGUCUUCCUACCAUCAGCCUUUUGCAAACUUCUACUAGACUUUUUUUUUUCCUCCGUUCCCCUCUUCUUACGAAGUUAGCAGAGGAGGGGAAAAAAAUGAUACCGAGGAAGAGACAUAUUUUCUGUCAGUUUUUAAUUUUUAUUUUUUCUGGGUUUGCUUAGUACGGUGGCUUCAGUCACGCACAGGGUCUUUCGAGGAACUGAUUUCUCAGAGAGGGGAGCUCUGUACGUGCUUUUAAUCACCUAUCUCCAAUGAAAGAAAUCACAAGUGUUGCUGUCCAGACCUGAAGAACUUGCUCUGCCCUAAAGCGGUGGAAUGAGAGACCCGCCACCAGAACAUUAGGCACCCCAUCUGGAUGUGGACCUAGUAGGAUUCGGGUGGCCUUGAGGAUGCCAGCUCAGCUGGAGAGUGCUGCAGAAGGAUCAAGGGACUUCUGAGGAACCCUGUAAUACAAAAAGUGAAAUACGUUUAUCCCAAUUCUAUUCUCAGAAUCCCUGCCAAGAAAGGCAAAGUUGGUAGAUGUCAAAGUUAUCAGUGUCCACCUCCCCCCAGCUCAUUUGCACGAAGGGUGUAGCUUCCCCAAGUCCCAGAUCAGAAAAAAAUUUAGAGCGAUUCUCAGGGCACUGUGCAAACCGUUGAAAAGAAACUGCAGCUACCCUUCCCCUUCCUUUUCAAAAAUCUAUGCAAGUAAAAAGUGAGCAAUCUUAUCUAAUUCCACAAUCGAGGCAGAGAGAGUAGAUGCAUCGGAAAUUCAUAGCUUAUGAGCGCAAAAUUUCCCGAUUCUUGUAAAAACAGGAAUCUUGGUAAAAAACAAAAAACAAAACAAAAAAACAAAACAAAAACAAAAGGUAGCUGAAGUUUUUGGUUCUUGUUUAGUUGGAGAAAUUUGGGUCCUUGUUUCGUCAGAAAAAGGAUCCAAAGUGUUUAAAAGCUUGUGGUUUCAAAGAAACCAGAUCUUGGACACAUUUUGCGUAGUUUCAUCCCCCUGUGUAACAAAACAGUGCCUUCUAAUUUUGUUUUCUCAACCCCACCCAACUUUUAUGUUUUUUUCUUUUCAUAACUUAGCUUUUUUCCCCCUUCUGUCGAAGUGUUUCUGAUCUUGAUUAAAUUUUAAUUACCCAUUCUCUGCCUGAAACUCGAUUGCAUUCCCCUAACCACUUCCAUCAGAAUACAAACAGAUCCAUACUUCCAGUGUCUGACCACGGCAAAGAAAGUUCACGUGGUUAGAACUGAGUCUAAAGCAAAUGCCCUGUGUACUGAAUAACAGCUGCAAAAAAAUAGAUAUUAAAAUUAAAUAGCCACAAAACUAAGAGGAUGGGGAAAACACACCACAAAACAGGAUUUUUUAAACUAACAAAGAAGUUGUAAGAUGAAUGUAAUGGGUGCUGUUUCUUCUUCUGGCGUGACAUAUGACUAGCAAUAGCUGGACCAUGAAGAGAAAACUCUAUUUCUCUUCUCCUAUGUUAUUUUGCCAGAAAUCUUUCAGAACUAAACGAAUACAAAGUUCUUCAAAAGGCUAUCUGCUAACUACUGCCAGGUAAAGAGUUCUAAAAGGGUGUGGCUCUUCUCACUACAUAUGCAACACAUGAAAUAAUUCUAGAACCCUUGUCAAAGAAGUUUCCUUCAAUAUUUUGGUUUGGAAAUGGCUGGGAGAGGGACACUGUAAACGAAAUUAUUUCCUUGGUAUGGUCUGUGCAAAUGUGUGUCCUUAUAUAUCUGAGAGGAUAAUGGGGCUGGAGAGCAAAGCGAGCCAGGCUGGGGGUUAUACUCCCUGACCCUUGGAGCAUCUGGGAAAAGUAAAGGCGCAACUCAAUCUUCUUAUUUCUUUUCUUGUCUCCUUCUAUAUGAAAUCUUGUUUCAAUUUAUAUUCCAGAAUAAAACUCCGGUGUGCUUUAAA